AUUGAACGCUGGCGGCAGGCCUAACACAUGCAAGUCGAGCGGUAGCACAGAGAGCUUGCUCUCGGGUGACGAGCGGCGGACGGGUGAGUAAUGUCUGGGAAACUGCCUGAUGGAGGGGGAUAACUACUGGAAACGGUAGCUAAUACCGCAUAACGUCGCAAGACCAAAGUGGGGGACCUUCGGGCCUCAUGCCAUCAGAUGUGCCCAGAUGGGAUUAGCUAGUAGGUGGGGUAACGGCUCACCUAGGCGACGAUCCCUAGCUGGUCUGAGAGGAUGACCAGCCACACUGGAACUGAGACACGGUCCAGGCUCCUACGGGAGGCAGCAGUGGGGAAUAUUGCACAAUGGGCGCAAGCCUGAUGCAGCCAUGCCGCGUGUGUGAAGAAGGCCUUCGGGUUGUAAAGCACUUUCAGCGGGGAGGAAGGCGGUGAGGUUAAUAACCUCAUCGAUUGACGUUACCUGCAGAAGAAGCACCGGCUAACUCCGUGCCAGCCGCCGCAGUAA
rnacentral:rRNA from 1 species